GACGAACGCUGGCGGCGUGCUUAACACAUGCAAGUCGAACGGAGCGAAUGAAAGCUUGCUUUUAUAAGCUUAGUGGCAAACGGGUGAGUAACACGUAGACAACCUGCCGACAGGAUGGGGACAACAUUCCGAAAGGAAUGCUAAUACCGAAUGAAGCGGAGGAGAGGCAUCUCUCCUCUGUGAAAGAUGGCCUCUAUAUAUAAGCUAUCACCUGUCGAUGGGUCUGCGUCUGAUUAGCUGGUAGGUGAGGUAACGGCUCACCUAGGCGACGAUCAGUAGCCGGUCUGAGAGGAUGAACGGCCACAUUGGGACUGAGACACGGCCCAGACUCCUACGGGAGGCAGCAGUGGGGAAUCUUCCGCAAUGGGCGCAAGCCUGACGGAGCAACGCCGCGUGAGUGAAGAAGGUCUUCGGAUCGUAAAGCUCUGUUGAUGGGGACGAACGUGCCUAAUGCGAAUAGUAUUAGG
rnacentral:rRNA from 1 species